GCGGCGGCGGCGAGAUGGCCCUCCGCCCCGGCCCUCCGCAGGCGGCGGCGCCGCUGGAAGACGAGGACGUCCUGGGCGAGAUCCUCGUCCGCCUCCCCCCGCUGCCCUCCUCGCUCGUCCGCGCCGCCGCCGUCUCCAGGCUCUGGGGGCGCCUCGCCGCGGACCGCGCCUUCCUCCGCCGCUUCCGCACCCACCACCGGAGGCCCCCCGUCCUCGGCGUCUUCGAGGAGCGCGACGGGGAGCUGGUGUUCACCCCGCUCCUCGACGCCCCGGACCGGAUCCCCCGCGAGCGCUUCUCCAUGCGGUUCUGGCACGUGCUCGGUUGCUGGACCUUGCUCGGGUACCGCCACGGCCGCGUCCUCAUGGUCAACCAGGAUCUGGCCCUGCUCCUCGUUUUCGCCCCUCUCGUCGGCGGCCGCCGCGGCCUCCGCGCCGUGGUGAUUCCUCCGGAUUUCGUCGACGGCGAGUACGCCGUCGCCAACGGAGCGGUGGUCUGCGCUGCCGGCGGCGAGCAGGGCCACGUGCACGGAGACUGCCACUCGGGCCCCUUCAAGGUGGUUCUGGUGGCCACCAGAGUGAGACACCCGGUCCUAGCCCGGGUCUACUCCUCGGACACCGGUGAGUGGGGAGAUCUUGUCGUAAUGGCGGAACCAUGUGUUGUUAGCAGCUUCCCCUCCACCCUCGUCGGCAAUGCUCUUUACUGGUGGCUAAAAAAGUGUCAGCACGAGGAUGGCAUACUCAAGUUCGAUUUGGAUAGCCAGACACUAUCUGUGGUCAGGAGGCCUAUUUUUGAUCGCAUUCCCAGUUGCAGCAUCCGGAUCAUCAGGGGAGAGCAUGGCGGUGUUGGCCUCGCUGUAUUUUCGUACCCGAGGUUCCAAAUCUGGGAACGCAUGGUCAAUAGUCAUGGUACUGCCAUAUGGGUGCUGCGAAAGACGGCUCGCAUGCAUAGUAUGCUUCAGUAUGCUAUGCUGACUAUAGUAGGGUACUCUGAGGAUGGGGAUGCGCUUCUUCUAACAGUGUCCUUCGGUGGGGGUGUGGCCGCCUACAGCUUCAUGCUUCAACUUGAGUCAAUGGAGUGGACGAAUCUUAAUCAAACAUUUUUGGAGUAUUCCUACCAUCCGUUCGCAUACUUGUAUACUGCAGGUACUGUCAGAGCGUCAAGUACCGCUCCAGCCAUUGAGCCACCACAGCAGCGAAGUACAAUUCCAGCCAUUGUGCCGCCACAGCAGUGAAGUACUGGUCCAGCCAUUCCACAGCUGCGGGGUGGUCGCAUGAUUUAGUGAUCAGUAGGAUUUGCAUCUGCAGCAGAGGCAUAUGUUGUUUAUAGGGUUUUUAAUUUCGUCUUGUAUAUGAAGACCAUAGAAAGUGUAAAAUGAAAAUUUGGAUUUGGUCUCUUAACAGCACUUGGUUGUACGAGUUGAAUCAUAGAACAGGAGGCAGGUAAGUACAGGGGACAGGUAAGCAUUGUUAUUAUGAUCUGUUUGUAGCUUCCUAAAAAUGAGUGUACUGUCAUGGUCAUUUGACACAAUGAAGAAAAAACAAAUGAGUGUAGGCUGAUAGAAGUCGUAAUUGUGAGUUGGCACCUUGCUUUCAACAAAAGUUCAUCUCAUUGCUCCCUAUUUGUACGACAGCAAUACAUAUCAGUAAAAUAAAAGGAUGUUUAUUAGCCACUUUUAGACGUGGUGGCAUAAUAUCAGUAAAAACUAAAGAAUGCUACUAUUCAUCAGUUUUCCUUUUGCGAAUAUUUGCGUUGCCUUUUUUGGACCAUAACUUUUUGUUCUUUUUCAGAUGCAGUGUGCUACUACAAAAUAUUUACUUGAUCCUUGAUUGACAUACUUUUGUGAACUGAGAUCUUGCGCUCUGCUUUUACCAAUCAGCCUGUUUGCUUCUUUUCUUACAUGUACUUUAAUUAUACAUUUCUGGAUUUGGUGCUUUGAUUUGCUGCAGUUUCCUUGAUUUAGUAGAUGCAUGAUGUGCAUCAAUACACUGGACUUCAUGAUCGGUUUUCCAUCUCACAUCAAUAGUUUAGGCCACUAUUUGUUUAUCCAUGCAUUUUAGGUAAACAUUGGUGUAGACUUGGUUGUUUUUUUUUUGGUUGUUUGUGGUAUCCAUUUUCCCCUACACUAGGUAAUAGCCCGUGCGUUGCAACUUGCAACGGAGGCAUACAAAAUGUACCACUAAAAUUUUAGUUAGUUUUUUACAUAACAACCAUGAUUUACCUUUAUUGUUAAUGUGAACCUUGAUUUACCAUCUAUUUAUUGUUAAUGUGUCUGCAUACUAACUGAUGCAAUUAGCAAGUGUUAAGUGAUAACCUAAUUCUUGAAUAUCAGUUGUGGGAAAGUGCAGCACAAAUUAAUCCUAAUUUAAUUCUUUCCCCAACCUGCUUGGUCCUACAACAGGCAAACAUUAGGUUGCUAGCAACAAAAUGAUAUGCAAGGAAUAAAUUGCAACCCCACAGAAGAGAAAAAAAGGGCUCUAUACCUUUUAUCCUCCCAAUCUGCAAAACAAAUAGAAUUGAGACAUAUCGUGCCAAUUUAAUUACUAAAGCUCAUGUCCAAUUUUGGAAGCUAAUGGCCAAGUAGUUGGCAAUUUUGUUUCUGAAGAGAAAUGCAUUGAUGCAAUUUUGUCCACUUCGGAUCAUUCCCUCUUAACAAAAUGCCAGUGAUGUUUCUCUUAAUGUAGUAUACUGACCAUUUCAGCAGCAUAAUUUCUCUAAGUGACCAUGCAGUAUUCAGUGACUUUUCUAGGUGACUAAUAUGCAGCAUGCAUGGAUGGCUGGGAGACUGGGCAGAGAGAGUUUGUCAUGAAAACUGUUUUUCGCUUUAACUUUCACUUUGUUGUGUUUCCUCUGUCCAUUCUUUCCUCAGUUAAAACUUCAUUGCCAAAAACCAGAUUACCUCCUUCCAUGAUCUGCACAAAGGCAUAAGAAUACUAAAGUGUCACCAGACUGAGAGAUGCAAAGUACCAAGUGCAUAAAAUCUGUGUCCAAAUCGUUUAGUUAUGACAAUUACAAAUUUAGUUGUUUAAUAUAUACAAUAAGAAAUUCAGUGUUCUACCAGUUACAUCAAAUUAGUAGUCAGUUUAUCCCAUGCAGUGCACAGGAAAAUGUCAAAACAAAGGAGAGGAUGAGGCCGUCUACCUUGUAGAGGAGCAAGCCCGUACCUGCUGCUGCCGGUCUUGGCGCCGCCUUCGCAUAGGUGGAGUUCGUCAAGGUCGAGAUCUGCGAGAUCCCCAGAGUGGCGCAUGUUAUGAGAGCAUCAAAAGAAUUCAGAGGAGGGGCUCUGAAUCGAACAUAGAAGAAUCAAAUCUUUUGCUUGCGGCGCCGGAUCAUGAGCCCCCGGCGCCAAUCGACCGGUGCCCCAUCGGCCUCUCUGGGUCAGUGACGUAGCAGACUGAUGCGAAGGCAGAGCCAGCGGGUGAGGAGGUCAAUGUAAGGAACCGGGGGGUGGCGGUGUCGCGCAGCGUAUUUUUGGGUAGCUCGGACAUCGAAGUGGCACCAGCGAGUCGAGGAGAGGAAGGAAGUGUUGAGGUGUGGGGUGGCGGCUGGCUGCAGCGGAUGUCCGGGAGCGGUAGGCGUGGCGGCGGAGAACAGGGAAAGGGGAUUUAGGGUUGAAGAGUGGUGCGGGGUGGAAAGAUGAGAGAGGUGGGCGAUGGAUUCUGCUGGACUUUUUUUUCCUUGCGCGGGUUCUUUUGCCAUCUAGAAAACCGAGUGGGGGAGAGGAGCGGCACUAGGCAGGAUGUGAAACGGAAGAGGCGGACGAAAGGAACGGGCAAAAAGUUUUUUGACGGGAUAGGAAACCUUACUCUUUUUUUGGUAAGUAGAGAUGGUCCGUUCUGUCCUCUAGGAAACCUUUAUUGUUGAGUUGUUCCUUUGUGCUACUGUUCCUCUUUUUGUUUUUUCCCCUUUUGGUGUCUUCCUUCCCUGUUUUGUAGUUCCAUUUUGCACUGGAUUUUGGCAGUGGCAAAGUAAUAAACUUAUCACUGGCGUGCACUCAUUUGACCUUUUGCUUUGUGCACACAAUCAUGCAUUAAUCUUUGGUUAUGUUGCUAUUAUUCAGUUUAGAGUUUUGCAGUCAGAUGCAUCUUUUGUGAAUAGCUCUUGUAGAGUUAAUCAGUGGGCUAUGGAAAAUUUACCCCUCACUCUAUAGAUUGGUUGGUUUGAGGCUUAGUACUCCCUCCAUUCCUAAAUAUAGGGUGUAUAGUUUUUGGCACGGAAAUUAAAGAAUGCACAUGGAGGAAAAAUUUCACAAGUUUUGGGCAAGACUACACCUGACUAAUUAAUAUGAGAAAAUAGAGGAGCUUGCCCUGUGUAAGGAAAUGUAAUCAAAUCCCUUAAAAAGUUAUUCAAAUGAGUGGUGCAAGGCAAUACACCUUAUAUUUUGAACUUUUUCUCAAAAAUCUAUACACCUUAUAUCAAGGAACGGAGGGAGUAUAUAUUUUCUCCCUGAAUGCUAUAUAGUAUUUAUAAAAAAAAUGCUCUCAAUAAUGUCCAUGCCUCUAAAUUUUUUUUGAAGAUUAAAUUCAGUUAGCUAAGUUUCAUUAUAUGGAUUUCUAACAGUUUAAUCUGCAGAAUGUUUUCAGACUAUCAGCUGAUUUUGCUGUAAGAUCAUGAAUCACAAGAAUCGUCACCUCUGUUUGGUUAAUCUAUCUAAUUUUGCUAUUUCUCCAUUGUUUUGUUGCUUUAAAAGCCAUGUUUGAAUUGUCUUUAUAUUUGAUUAACUGUACUAUGUACAUUAUAAUAUUAUGUACUUUGGUGAAGUACGGCCUCUAUUGUUUGCUUCUAGUAGCUCCCAAAUUGCCAUUUUUCUGAUUGCCUUUUUUGACCAACAAAGACUGAAACUCAUUUUUGCCAUUUUUCUGAUCCUGUUAUAUCUUUUUUAUGUUUAUGUCAUUUUCUUGGAUAUAAUUAAGUCAGUGCAUUUUGUUGUUUCCUUGAAACUCAUUUUUUGGGAUUUACUUGGUUUCUUACCAUGUAUCUUGUGGUACAAGCAAUAACUCUGUAUGAGUUUGCGUUGGUAUGCAGGGUUACUUGGCAUGUCAAAGAACCACAAUCCAUAACUGGCCCUGCAAGCAUCUCAGUUCUUGUAGGUUUAUGAAGGUGAGCGCCCUGUUGGCAAAAUAGGGCAUGCGAUCUUCUUAUGUCAAACCCUUGUUAAUCAAUUUGCAUCGUGGAAUGUCUUGAUGAAUGUACAUAUCUGGAAAGUUACUCUAUUCUGCUGGUGCAGGCUGGAAUGCUGUUAUAUCCUGUCAAGUUUUGUUGUGCCUAUGUGCCCAACUCACACUGGGCCUGAAAAUCACAAUGCAUCUUUUUUUACUGUAUAUUACAGUAAAAUUUAACAUUUGAACCGAAAAACUCUGAAGCCAAAGUGGGCAGUGAAAUUGUCUUUAAAUGUUGUGAUGCAAACACACUGUUGCAAAGAAUUGCAUGGAAAUUGUAAUGUUCAUCUUCCUCUACAAAAGUGUACUUAUCAGAACUGAAUGUCGUGUGUGGGUGCAGACCGGGGCAAAUCAUUUGAGCGCCCUUCUCCCACUGUAAUUUCCUUUUGCCCUGGCUGGUCGUUGCCACUCAUGUACCUAUCUCUAUGUAUUUGUUUCUCAUCUCUUAACAUAUGACAUGCAGUCUUGCAUGCUUGAAAAAAGAAGAAAAUAAUUGCAUGGGAGGCCAUCGCCAAAUGAAAGGGUUGAAGCCUAUCAGUUUGUUUUGCUUGAGACGGUUGAAGUUAUCAGGAUUGUAGGCUCUAGUGAAGGGUAUCCAUGGACGAAGACGAGCUGCAGCGAAUUCUUAACUUUCAGGGAUUAUGUGCAUCCAAAGGAUGUGUUGCCUGCUUUUCGUCUGGGUUGGCAUCAGGAUAUUUU